AUUGAACGCUGGCGGCAGGCCUAACACAUGCAAGUCGAACGAGUGGCGGACGGGUGAGUAAUGUCUGGGAAACUGCCUGCUGGAGGGGGAUAACUACUGGAAACGGUAGCUAAUACCGCAUACCAUCAGAUGUGCCCAGAGGGGCAUAGCUAGUUGGUGGGGUAACGGCUCACCAAGGCGACGAUCCCUAGCUGGUCUGAGAGGAUGACCAGCGACACUGGAACGGAGACACGAUCCAGACUCCUACGGGAGGCAGCAGGUGUGAAUAGUGCACAGUGGGGGCAAGCCUGAUGCAGCCAGGCGGCGUGUAUGAAGAAGGCCUUCGGGUUGUAAAGUACGUUCAGCGGGGAGGCGUUACCCGCAGAAGAAGCACCGGCUAACUCCGUGCCAGCCGCCGCGGUAAUAC
rnacentral:rRNA from 1 species